ACUGAUACUCUUGGCAACAUUUUUUAUUAGAUUCUGAAAAAUACAAAGUAUUAUGCUGAUUUAGAGAACGACUUUACUGAUGUGAAGAGUAUCAUUGUAAACAAGCAAACAUUCCUUUUAAUCAAGAGUACUGAAGCGUCAUCAGAGCAGAAAUAAAGUUAAUCAAAAUCAAUUCUCAAACCUUCGAGCCAACCUAUGAGUGACGACAUGACGAGUACAACUUAGACAUCCCAACCGGUCCUACUAAUAAUCCACGUAUUGUAAUUAAAUUUUACCAUGAAUAAUUUAAAGUCUAUAAUUAUUAAAAUCUUAAGAUUUUAUUGGCUAUUACUGUAUAGACUAUUUUUUAGUAUAAAGUUAGUAAUUAGAAAAAAUAUAAAAAUUAACGUAGAAAAACUAAACUUUACCUUUUGUAUCAGGGUUUUACUAUUUAUAAAAUAAAUUUAAUAUUAGAGACAAGAAGAUUUAAAUAGUUUUUUAUCUUUACUGAGUGAGUAAAUGUUAAAAUUAUUUAGAACAGAAAUUGUACCGCUUCUUGUUAUAACUAAUUUCUAUAAUAAAAUAGGGUUCAGCUUUAAAAAAAUUUACUUUAUUCGUUUUAAACAAAAUAUAGGCUUAGAAGUAGCUUUUGUCUUGUGUAAAAACUUAAUUUAAACAUAAUAAAGUAUUUUAUUAGAAAUUUCUUAGUUAACUAAAGGCUAAGCUAACAAUGUAAAAAUGAGUAUCUUAGAAUAACAUGAAAUAAGCAAUUCGGCAAAAAUAGCGGUAACUGUUUAAUAAAAACAUUUCCUUCUUAUUUUUUGGAAGGUAUGCCCUGCUCAAUGUUUUGAUUCAAAAUAAAUAGCCGCAGUAACCUGACUGUGCUAAGGUAGCGCAAUCCAUAGUUUCUUAAUUAGAAACCAGUAUGAAUGGGCGAAUACUGCUAUGCUUUCUUAUUUCAUAAAAGAAAAAUUUAAAAUCUAAAUUAAAAUGUUAGAAUGAAAAAACAAGACGAGAAGACCCUGAGAAGUUUUCUUAAGAAAUUAAUUUAGUUGGGGAAUCUAAAGAUAAUUAAACAUCUUUUUCUUAACCUCUAAGAGAUAAAGUGAAAAAAUUACUCCGGGGAUAACAGGGUAAUUAUUUUUUGAGUGCGUAUUAAAAAAAUGGUUUGCUACCUCGAUGUUGGGUUAAAAUUACAAAAAUGUGCAGCAGCAUUUUGGGUUAGUCUGUUCGACUAUGAAAAUUUUACAUGACCUGAGUUUAGACCGGCGUGAGCCAGGUCGGCUUCUAUCUGUUUAAAUGAACUCUUUUUGUACGAAAGGACUUUUGAGUUUUUAUAAUUAUUUAUGUUAAAGUUGUGUUGAAUUUACAAUUCAAUGUAAUUGUUUAUACUAUAAAGAUUAAUGA
rnacentral:rRNA from 1 species